ensembl:misc_RNA
CUGACAUCCAUGGACAGUGAAGUCCUAAACUUCUCCCUAGAACAUGUUCUAUAUAACUAGAUCCAUAGUAAUGCAGGCCUCUCCACAUUGGAUGUGUCUUAACUGAUCUGGAGGGACAGCACUAGAGGUGAGCUGGCAAUUCAGUCUCCACGUUCAUUAACUCCUUCAGGUCCU